CCUGCUUUUGUUUCUGACACCUCCUAAAAGGCCAUUGGGUUUAUAGUCUUUUUGCAUCUUGUUUUUGAUUUGCCCCAAUUGCAAGAUGCAGUUAUUUUCAUAGUGUUAUUUGUAUUCCAUUGUAUUUAUAUUUAUUUGUAUUCCAGGAGACAUUUGUCCAGGUGCAAACACUGCAGUAAAGGUCCAAGGUCAAAUCAGUUGGCUGACUAUUCAAAGCAUUUUGGAGUUAGAAUCCAUCAGAAGAGGAGUUCAACCACUGACUCUGCCCUUAUUGGUUGCGUAGCCUUAGGUUGGGAGUUUGCUGAGGGUGGAAAAGAUGUGAGCAAUGCACAGGCUGGCAGAGGCCCUCAGAUGAAGUUCAGGGUCUUCAGAUGUUACCAAGCAUGAGCUCAAACUGCUCGUAGCAGGGCAGGCCAGGCCAGUAAAUCGAGAGUCGAGUUGUUGGGGCAAAGAAUAUUGACUGUAUUCGGAAAGCUGCAGGCUGAGAAGAUGGUGGACUAGUUUCCCAAAGAACCAUCUUGCCCAGGAAAGAAAACUGAGGCCCAGAGAAGGGGCCUUGCCCAAGUCCAGCUGGGAGGUUAGCAGCCAGAUGAGAAGUAGAUGAGAAAGCAAGGCUGGGAGGGACCAGAGGUGAGUAUACGACACCCAGUUGGGGAGACCAUGUAGAAAAUGUACUGUUAAGGGAGAAAAGGGGCUUGGCCCUGUCUCCCAAACUCUGAGAGCUCCGUGGUCCUUGAGAAAGGAGAGGGCAGAGUUCUGGGCCCCAGCAUAGGUCACAGAUCCUGAAUGUGAAGGACCUGGCAGAGGUGGCCACGAUGCUGACUGAGGAAAUGAUGCUGAGGACAAUCUUAACUGCAGCUGAGGCUGAAGAGGCACAGGGAGUGCAUGCCAGAGAGCAGGAUGGAACAGCCCAGGACCCACUAAUUCCACCUUCACUGCCCUCCUUUUAUGAAUGGGACUGAGAACAGAUAAGAAACCUACCCAAGGUCACAGUGGACUCCAAAGCCUGUCCCUCACUGUGGAUUAUGCCUCUGGAUAUGAAAAGUGCAUUUUACUAAGAGUUGAUCCCCAAACUAGCAUGUGACACUUACCUACACUUACCUAGGCCUUGAAAAACCUUUAAAAAAAAUCAUAGUUAAAUUAAUUUUUGCAACCAAAAUUUGAACAUCACUGAACUUGACCAAGAAGGAACAAAACCAGAACAGAAAUGAAACAAGAGGAAGGAAGAGAAAAAAGAAGGUAUAUGCAAGUGUUGACAUUUUAUCUCUGGAAUAAUUCUGCUUUAGCUCUGUUCCCUAGGACCAAAGAAUAGAUGAGUGUAGAAUUCUAAACUGUUCCAACCAGUCUGCAAAUUUUAUUCCUUUGUAAAUCUAAAAUAUAUUGAAAUUUUUGUGUGUUGUGCUGAAGCUUAAAUGGGGGACUGAAGUUUCAUGUUUCUGACUGAGGUAUAAAUUUAGUUUGAAAACAGAUGUUCCAAUGAUUGCUUUCUGCUCAGGGUGACUACUUGAGCCUGAAUUUUCAGUUUGCCCUGAUAAAGAAGAGAGGCUCCUGGAGAGAAAUCUGCUGAGCUGAUGGCCUGGACAAAGAUUAGUAGAUGGGCAUAUGUACUUUUGGGUCAAUGUUAGUGAAGAAAUUUGCUUGAUGGGGCAGAAAUACCGAUUCAGGAUCAAUAAGAGGUAAAUUCCGUUGUGUGGGGCAAGGUUAGAUUUCAAUUUUUAGGAGAGGCAGAGAAUUUAAAUAAUUGCUACUCUUGUAGAUCUCUAAUUUGUUGUGGUUCAUCAGAAAAAAAUGUGUAUAUGUUGGAUCUGAAAACCAAGGGACAUAUGUGAGCUAUCAUAGUCAUAGGAAUUAACUCGCCAAUUAAGGAAUGUUGCUUGUCACCCGUUUCUACAAGACUCAAGUCACUAAAUGCCACUUCAGUUAUCGACAUAUAGCACGUAUAUACGUAUACUGACAUAAAAUUCUUUCUCUGGAAAGAAUUCAGGGUGAAGCUCAAGAAUGAGGCACUCUGUGCUCUGGGAAAACUGACAGAACAGGCCCUCAGAUAGUUAGAUAUUUUCAGGAGAAAUUUUUAUGAACCCAAAUUCUUGUAUCAGCCCAUGCUUAGAAAAGCACUAAAAUCAUUAGCUGAGAUAUCUGAUCCUUGUGACUGAUAGCAACCUUCUGCAGAGAUGUGUGCCUGAUUGCACAUACUCCUCCAAAAUCACAUACGUUUUCAGAGCAGUUCUUCAAAGCAGUCUGAGGGGCUGUCUCCUGGGCUAUAGUUCUAACUAAGAUGCUGAAUAAUCUCAAUUCACAGCUCUUAUGUUAUACAUGUAUUAGUUAAGCUGAAAAACAAAACAAAACAAUGUUGAGAACUGGCCUGGAAGUUAGGCCUCAAGGCAGCUGUUUCCCAGCUCUGCUGCUCUUUGCUGUGUGUGCUUGGGUAGUUAGCUCACCCUCUCUAGGUGCUAGGGUCCUCUUCUGCCAAAUGAAGUGGUGGGUGGAAGGAACUCCAGUGAUGGCAGCUCCUUCCUGCUCACAUCACAAGACUUAGGAAAGCAACCUUGUUGGCAUACUGGCUGUCUGCAUUCCACACUCAGUUGUUCACUUUGGAGGAAGAUGUAGUUGGAGGCAGUCACAUCACCUUGUACCCAGAGCCCAGGCCAGAGGAAGGCAUGCCCAUCCUGGCUGCAUCAAGGGCUGUACGCAGAACUGGUGAUGGUUAAGAGCUGGGUGAGUCAGAGAAUCAUGGUUUCUAGGCUCAAUUCUGCCUCUUUCUAGAUGAGAGAUCUCUGGUAACUUGCUGUCUCUGACCUGAGUGUCAAAUGAGGAUGUUAAUAGCAACUGUGUCCUUUUGGGAGUUUUUGAGAGAAUCAGAUGAGAUGUGUAUAAAUGACUAGAA